rnacentral:lncRNA from 1 species
GAAUGCCUACGGAGCUUGGAGAGGAUCCCAGCUGUCAGCCAGCAAGGAAAUGGGGUCUGUGACCCUGUAACUGGAAGGAUUGAACUCUGGCAAAAUUCUGAAUGAGACUGGAAGUGACUUCUCCCCAGGCAUCUCCAGAAAUGAGCCAGCCAGCUGACACCUUGAAUCCAGUCUUCUGAGAUGUGGGCAGAAGGACCGUACACCACCACCUGGACUUCUGACCUAUAGAACUGGGAUAUAACACAUUGAUGUUGUAUUAAGCCUCCAGAUACGUGUUGAUUUAUUGUGGUAACAGGUAAAUAUAAAAAAAAUAUAUAAUAUAGAACCAGAAAUAUUGGUCUUAGAGGGUGGGAUGUCCUGAGCAAUAAGAAUGGAAGCCCCUUACAGAGAUGUAAAUAACUGAUGAG